ACUUGUCCUUAGCUACAGAGACACAACGCACCUGGCCGCUUAAAGUCGGGGUUCCCUGCUUCAAAGCCACCUCGGGGGCGGUUCGAAAAUGCGGGCCCAGAUGGGAGGCCCGCUGAUGCCCAGAGCCUUCCUUCCCUUCACGAUGGAGGUAGGUGGUGAGGAAAGCUAAUGUUAGUUUAGUCGUCGGCUUUGUGUUGAGGGAGUAGAGAGCACUCUUCAAGGAGAGAUCUUAAAAAGCAAAUAAAACAACUUUCCAUACUAUAAUUGCUAUUAAUGGAAAGGAGCCUACCCUGCUGAAUUAAGUAGUUCAAAACUGCUUGUUCAUUAUCGGGAGCUCCCUCACUACAAGGAGGGGAAAGAAAAUGUGAAAACAAAAACCAAAAUCAAGAAGCCUCCUUGACUGGCCGCCGAAGUGUCUAGGAGGCACCUGCCGGGCCAGGAAGCACUCCGCCCUCCCAGCCUCUAGCGCUCCAAGAAAGCUCGAACAGCAGACAAGC
rnacentral:lncRNA from 1 species